GUCGUCACUGUAGGCCGACUUUAAGCGAGUCACACGCGAGCGAGAUGGAUGAAGUUAGCGGGAAGAAGCUUACGUAACGCCGUGUAGAAUAUGUAGCGCGGGGCUGGUGUAUAGGUGUACGAGCAAAGAAUAAGAGCGCAAAGACGUCGCGAGCCACCGCGUAAAAAAGAGAAAAGGGAUGAAAAUUCCAGAGGCGCCACACGCUUGCAGUAGUAUUAGCAGCGACGACGGCGACAGAGUCAUCGGCCGCUCCAGGCGCUACAACAGUGUGUGUGUGUAAAAGAGGUGCGCGCGCGGCCCGGCGGAAAGUAGGUUGAAUCUCGACGUGUAUGACAUCAUUAUCUGGUGUGCGUUGGAAUAAUUGACGGCGAUCUUUGUCUCAAGACCGCGUGGGCUUUUUGCAUUUUUGCAAAAUUGAAGAUUUUUCACAGGAUGGCACUUUGAGGAUUGCAUAAAUAUGUAUUGUAACAUAAGCUUCUCCCUUUCGAUGUAAUGCGCCGUGGUGCUUAGAUGAAGCGUGCUACGCAAAUUUAUGUCAAUGCUUGUCUCAAAUUUGCAUAAACUACCGUCGUAUGCGCUUGUGGAAGUGUCUUUUGGAAUUUGCAAGAGACGCGAAUUUCGAGGAAAAUGUUGAUACGACUGCAGCGGUGUAUUUUUGAUAAAACAAGAUAACGACGGAACCAUGGCGCGGAACGAGAUGUGUAACGAAGAGUUCAACGACGUAGCUAGAAAAUGUUCAAAUUUAUACGCUUCACGUUUUUAUUGUGUAAUAAAUUUUCAUC